GUGGGGUAGGAGCCCCACUGCCGCUCGUUUCCCCGGGACUUUGGACAAGCCUCUGAUUUACAGCUGAGUACCUCGGCUUGAGAUCUCUUGAGUCAAGGACUAGCCCUGUCUUCCUUCCCGCCCCGAGCGUCUUCAUUUGCUGCAGGGGCUCCACGUGCCCGGCCUGGGUGCUUCCGUUCGAACGGCGGUGUCAUUUGCUUAGAGACAGGACUCGGACUCACAUCCACCCCACACGGAGGCUGCACCUCUAGCCGAUGGCGAAGCCCCUGUGUGUCUGUCAUGGAGCAGAGCCUGCCAGCUGCAGGAAGGACCACUGGCCUCUUUCUACACCACGAGCUGCUGAUGAACGGCUUGGACUUUCUCACUUGCUUACAUCUCGUCUUCAGCAGAAAAUUUCAUUGCCAAAAACUAUGCUAAAUUUCUCAAGCCUGAGCCCACGCCAGGGACCCCAGGACCCCGGAAUUCAGGAUUCUCAUGAAGGGGCCCUAAAAAGUGACAUGACGCGCAGGACACCUGGCUCGUUUAUGACAGCGACUUUCCACGCUCCCUCUCGUGUGUCUGGCUAAGAUGAUAUCAGAAUUCAAAGACUCGGGAGAGCAGAAGCUGUAAAAAAUAAUCUUCUAUUAAGCCCCACGCUGCCCCCAGUGCAGUGGCAUUUGGAAGACGAGACCAGCGCCGUUCCUUUGGAGAUAGCAGCUAUUUUCCAAUUGUACUGAUAAAAAAGGAAGACAUGAAGUAAAGUGACAUUUACGUGCUAGGAGAAGCAUA
rnacentral:lncRNA from 1 species